rnacentral:rRNA from 1 species
AACGAACGCUGGCGGCGUGCUUAACACAUGCAAGUCGAACGCGAAAGUUUUCUUCGGAAGACGAGUAGAGUGGCGCACGGGUGAGUAACGCGUAAGUAAUCUGCCCUGGUAUCUGGGAUAACCCACCGAAAGGUGUGCUAAUACCGGAUACGCUGAGCAAUCAGGAAAGGUGGCCUCUUCAUGAAAGCUACUGUACCAGGAGGAGCUUGCGUACCAUUAGCUAGUUGGUAGGGUAAUGGCCUACCAAGGCAACGAUGGUUAGCGGGUCUGAGAGGAUGAUCCGCCACACUGGAACUGAAACACGGUCCAGACUCCUACGGGAGGCAGCAGUAGGGAAUCUUCCGCAAUGGGCAAAGCCUGACGGAGCAACGCCGCGUGAGUGAUGAAGGUCUUCGGAUCGUAAAACUCUGUUAUUAGGGAAGAACAUAUGUGUAAGUAACUGUGCACAUCUUGACGGUACCUAAUCAGAAAGCCACGGCUAACUACGUGCCAGCAGCCGCC